rnacentral:lncRNA from 1 species
UCCAUUUUAUGAUGAACUCCAAGAAUUAAGAAAAACAAGGAAGAAAUUAAGAACAUAUGUAUAUAUAUGUAUGUAUGUCUACAUAUUUACACAUUACAUGGUGCAUGAAAUAGCAACCAAGCACUGCGUUACAAACAAAAAAAUAUUAAAAACAGGUGUUUCAAGAAAUGAAAUUAAUCAUAAAAAAAAAAAUCAAAAAACAUAAUCCAAUCCCAAUAUAUAUACAUAUAUGUAUAUAAUUUGGUCAUCUUUAAUUCCGUACGUAAUAUAUCUUCAAGAGUGGGAGCUUUAUGACUGAUCAUUGGUAUCAACAGAAAAUGGAACGACGACGUGUGGGUAGGCACUAGCUCGAGCUGGCAAACCACCUCCAGCGAAGUGCAUCUCGUUAAGGGGACAAUUGGGUCCGCUACUUCCAGGGAUGUUGGUGCAGCCAGAUGGACCAGAAGGAGGAACAGGACCCCUCUCAAGAGAUUGCAACACAGUAUUCAAUUUCAAUUCAUGCAAUACUCUACCAGCUUUGCAUGGUUGGACUUGGACAUGAUACACAAGAACAAGGACUAUAAUAAUAGUGCUGCUAAGAAUUAGUCUCAUUUUGUUGGUGAGACUGAAAUGAGAAUUAAACAAUAAUGGAGAGUCUCGUGUAAGAUAUGUAGAGUAUUUAUUUGAAAAUCUUUUGGAAUUUUUUACUUGUUGAAU